rnacentral:rRNA from 1 species
UACGUAGGGGGCGAGCGUUAUCCGGAAUUAUUGGGCGUAAAGAGUGCGUAGGUGGUUGUUUAAGCGUGGGGUGAAAGGCAAUGGCUUAACCAUUGUGAGCCUCGCGAACUGGGCGACUUGAGUGCAGGAGAGGAAGGCGGAAUUCCUAGUGUAGCGGUGAAAUGCGUAGAUAUUAGGAGGAACACCGGUGGCGAAGGCGGCCUUCUGGACUGAAACUGACGCUGAGGCACGAAAGCGUGGGUAGCAAACAGGAUUAGAUACCCCCGUAGUCCCUGAG